UACGUAGGGUGCGAGCGUUAAUCGGAAUUACUGGGCGUAAAGCGUGCGCAGGCGGUUUUGUAAGCCAGAUGUGAAAGCCCCGGGCUCAACCUGGGAAUGGCAUUUGGGACUGCAAGGCUUGAGUGCGGCAGAGGAGACUGGAAUUCCUGGUGUAGCAGUGAAAUGCGUAGAUAUCAGGAGGAAUACCGAUGGCGAAGGCAAUCCCCUGGGCCUGCACUGACGCUCAUGCACGAAAGCGUGGGGAGCAAACAGG
rnacentral:rRNA from 1 species